UGUGACGCUUAUUAGAUUAAAAUACCCUUUUUUGAUACAUUACAGAUUAUUUUGGAAGUAUUUAGGAAGUGUGUUUUUAAAAACCUUGCCUAGUUGUUACUUGUAUCUUUUUCUUGGAUCAUACGCUCGACAGCACCAUUUAUUUCUGACAAAAAUGACGCCACUGCUGAACGGUCUUAAUAUUUUAUGGAUAUUAAUUGGAGUAUCGCAAUUAUUGUUUUGUACGUAUCUGCAAGUAUUAUUUCUCGAAUUCAUCAUUUCGGGAAUUUACAAUCAACGACCAUGGAACAGGUGCAUAAACGCGGUCUACAGUGUGCCCAUACAAGAUGGUUUUAUUAAUAUUUCGUGCUAUACUCUGGAUGAAUUCAUUGCAAGAGUCUCAAACGCUUCCUUAAUUACGACUAACAUGCACAUUGACGCUUAUUUCCACGAUAAAACAACAGACGACUAUUUUCAAAUAUCGCAUUUCUUUAAUAUACAGUAAUUAUAUAUUUUUUUAAUAAUCAAAUAAUUAUACAUAAUAGAUAUACCUACUUAUUGAGAAAAACUGUACCAUGUCUAAGUCUCUCUGAAAUGAGUUUAAGCACCUGGCCUUGAA